ensembl:lncRNA
GGGGCUUCCCAAAAAAGAGUCUGGAUGCAAAAUAAUGUACAUGAAAAGCCAUCGAGUAUUAUGAAAUUAGAUAUGGAGGAAAAAGAGAUUGAGAAAUGAGCAAAGCAAAAAUAGGGAAGGAGAGAAUUUGAUGCACUGACCCUUAUCGUCUAUGGUAAAAAUAGGAGAUCAGAAACUGUGCCUUGCUAAUUUCCAUGGAGAUUUUUUUUUAUUUUUUAUUUUUUUGCUGCUUCUUGUCCAUGCCACCAGACCCCCUCCUCUAAAGCAGGUAGGGUGGUCUGCCCUGUCACACUGCUGCCCUCUUGUUGGUCCCUUGCUGUGCCCAGGCAUCCUGAGAUUACUAGAGCGAAGCUGACGUCUCUAUCAUCCCACUAUACUGCCUUGCCCUUCUCCCGUCAAUCCUUACCACACACACAUAUAAACACCUACAGAUCUGUCAGAUGAUGGCUUGAUCACUCUCCACAAACUCUCACUAGUCUCUCACUUUCUGUUUUUUCUGUUUUCAUCAUUCUAUCAUUACAUAAAACUGUCUCCCUCCCCUUUUUGUAGACCUUUUGCUACCACUCUGCCUUUUCCCCAAGACUUGCUGCCUGCUCUGGGCUUGUGCUUGCCACAUCAAAGGAGAAUCAAGGGUCACAAAGCCACCGGCAUGGAAUAUAAAUGCAGCUAGCAGCAUGGAAGUAUGGGAAAUCAAUCCUCUAAAGAUCUUCAUCUACUUCAAGAGCCCAUCAUCAUCCUCCAUCAUGUGCACAACAGAGGAUCCUGCAGGAACACUUGCAUCACGAAAGCUAAUGCCAGAACGAGUCGUGCAGCAUUGGAUGGUCUGCUGCACCCUGACACCCCGACCCUCAGUUCCUCAGGGUGAGGCCAGGUACAUGUGGACCUUCCAUCCAGCUGCACAGGAUCAGACGUACAGCAUGUGAGAGACACCACUGGGGACCCUGCAUGACAACAAGCCAAUCCAUGACCCAACAGGCAGGCCCCCUAAGCCGGCCCCAGGUGACGUCUGGUCAGCCAAACACAAGGGCAGAGUCUGGGGAGUGUCUCAAUGGGAUUGUAUAAACAACACUUCUGCAGAACUCAUCUCCCUCUGGCUGCCAAAUCUCGUUAAUGUUUCAUCUCCAAACCUUAAGAGUAUCAGG